rnacentral:lncRNA from 1 species
GUCUCGGAGAAGAUGUGGUGGCUUCCGUUUGUUGGUGGAGGAGGUGGCAGGCCUCGGCGGGUAACCCAGAGAACACAGCCGAAGUGGAAUGUGGGGACGUCUGCGACACCGGGGACAGAGCAACUGUGGAUGAAGAGGGCUACAUCUGGUUCCUGGGGAGGAGUCAUGACACUAUCAAUGCCUCUGGGUGGUGAAGGCAUUGAUUGUCCUGACCCCACAGUUUCUGUCCCAUGACAAGGACCAGCUGACUAAGGAGCUGCAGCAGCAUGUAAAGUCAGUGACAGCCCCAUGUAAGAACUGGGAAAACUUACCUGCUUCCAAGACUCAGCUCUAGCACCUCUUCCUGCUGGGUGUUUUCCGAUGCCCCCCCUCUCGCCACCUCAUGGGGACCCCACAGUCCCCUGAAGAGCCUUCUGCCCCAGUGCCUCACCCCACUCUUUAGACCUGUUUCUGUUUCCAUGGCUGCCUUGCCUUCUUAGACCACGGGCUCCUGCAGAGCGGGACCCCAUAUCUCAGUCGGCUUUGCAUUCCCAGUGCCUGGCCGAAACUGAGGCUGGAAUGGUCUCCUAUUCCAUAAGCUCUCAAUAACCCUUGAAAAAUGACUGGAAUCCUGGACAGCGCCAAGGCAGCAACUGGGAUGGGAGAGUGAUCUGCUGCCCUCUCCUGGCAAUGUGAGGAAUUGUCCUAAGCACAGACAACUCCCUCCCUGCCUUGCACAAGUGCAGGAUGGGGGAAACUGGAAAAGGAGCUGAUGGAGGAUUGGGGAGGUGGAUGCUGUCUAAGGAGACAAACUGAAUUGAGGGGUUGCUGGGACUCGGCCGGCUCACAUGCUAUUCCCAUGUCAUGGGCCCAGGGGCCAAGUCAGUGCUUCCAAAGGAGGGUGCAUCCUGAGAGAGGCUCUGGCUCCCCCAACAAAACCCUAAACUCUUGAAGGACAUCUUCCUUCUCAGUAUACCCUAUUGCUGUGUUGUUGUAACUAUCACUGUAACUUUUAUUCACUUCAGUGGGCGAUCACUGAGUUUUUCCUCCAUUGUUGUAAAACAUGUGUUUUGCUCUUGUGUGUAAAAUGACUGUGAAUUUAGCCACUGCCUUCUCCUGAUUUUAACUCAGCUUUCUACUGCUAGGAGGUUAUCUCUGUUCUGGGUUUCUCAGCUUUCUAUCAAAACCCAAAUACUGUCAUUCCUCGGUAUCCGUAGGGGAUUGGUUCCAGGAACCUCCCUUGAAGAUACCAACAUUGCAGGUGCCCAAGCCCCUGAUAGAGAACAGCGCAGCAUUUGCAGACAACCUAUGUACACACUGCAUGCACUUUCAAUCAGCUCUAGAUUACUUCUGAUACCUAAUUCAAUGUAAAUGCUGUGUCAGUAGUUGUCUAGGGAAUAAUGACAAGAAGAAAAUUUUGUACAUGUUCAGUACGUAGGAAAAAGAAAGAGAGAUCAGACUGUCACUGUGUCUAUGUAGAAAGGGAAGACAUAAGAGAUUCCAUUUUGAAAAAGACCUGUACUUUAAACAGUUGCUUUGCUGAGAUGUUGUUAAUUUGUAGCUUUGCCCCAGCCACUUUGCCUUAGCCACUUUGACCCAACCUGGAGCUCACAAAAAUAUGUGUUGUAUAAAAUCAAGGUUUAAGGGAUCUAGGGCUGUGCAGGAUAUGCCUUGUUAACAAAAUGUUUACAAGCAGUAUACUUGGUAAAGGUCAUCGCCAUUCUCUAGUCUCAAUAAAACAGGAGCACAGUGCACUGCGGAAAGCCGCAGGGACCUCUGCCCUUGAAAGUGGGGUAUUGUCCAAGGUUUCUCCCCAUGUGAUAGUCUGAAAUAUGGCCUCGUGGGAUGAGAAAGACCUGACUGUGCCCCAGCCCGACACCCAUAAAGGGUCUGUGCUGAGGUGGAUUAGUAAAAGAGGAAAGCCUCUUGCAGUUGAGAUAGAGGAAGGCCACUGUCUCCUGCCUGCCCCUGGGAACUGAAUGUCUCGGUAUAAAACCCGAUUGUACAUUUGUUCAAUUCUGAGAUAGGAGAAAAACCGCCCUAUGGUGGGAGGCGAGACAUGUUUGCAGCAAUGCUGCCUUGUUAUUCUUUACUCCGCUGAGAUGUUUGGGUGGAGAGAAACAUAAAUCUGGCCUACAUGCACAUCCGGGCAUAGUACCUUCCCUUGAACUUAAUCAUGACACAGAUUCUUUUGCUCACAUGUUUUUUGCUGACCUUCUCCUUAUUAUCACCCUGCUGUCCUACUACAUUCCUUUUUGCUGAAAUAAUGAAAAUAAUAGUCAAUAAAAACUGAGGGAACUCAAA